GAUCCAUGGCUCAGGAUGAACGCUAGCUACAGGCUUAACACAUGCAAGUCGAGGGGCAGCAUGACGAUAGCUUGCUAUUGUUGAUGGCGACCGGCGCACGGGUGAGUAACGCGUAUCCAACCUUCCCGUUGCUAGGGGAUAACCUUGCGAAAGUAAGACUAAUACCCUAUGAAGUUCUUCGCAGGCAUCUAAAGAGAACGAAAGAUUUAUCGGCAACGGAUGGGGAUGCGU
rnacentral:rRNA from 1 species